GGUCAAGAUACUAAGAGCAUAGGGUGAAUGCCUUGGCACUAGGAGCCGAAGAAGGACGGGAUAAGCACCGAAAUGCUACGGGGAGUCGCAAGUAGACAUAGAUCCGUAGAUAUCCGAAUGGGGAAACCCACCUAAGGAGAACCUUAGGAAUCAUCUACUGAAUCCAUAGGUAGAUAGAAGGCAGACCAGGGGAACUGAAACAUCUAAGUACCCUGAGGAAGAGAAAGAAACAUCGAUUCCCUAAGUAGCGGCGAGCGAACGGGGAAGAGCCCAAACCAGUAGAGGUAACUUUACUGGGGUUGCGGACCAGCAAAACGGUAGGGAUAAUCUAUAGUAGAAGAGGUCUGGAAAGGCCCACCACAGAAGGUGAAAGUCCAGUAUACGAAAUAGAAAACCCGCCAGCUGAGAUCCAGAGUACCACGAGACACGAGAAACCUUGUGGGAAGCAGGGGGGCCCACCCCCCAAGGCUAAAUACUACCUAGUGACCGAUAGAGAAUAGUACCGUGAGGGAAAGGUGAAAAGAACCCCGGAGGGGAGUGAAAAAGAACCUGAAACCCUAUGUUUACAAGCAGUGGAAGUUCUAUAUAUGAACGACCGCGUACUUUUGUAGAACGGGCCAACGAGUUACGAUAUGCAGCAAGGUUAAGUACUUAAGGUAUGGAGCCGUAGGGAAACCGAGUCUAAAUAGGGCGAUUAAGUUGCAUGUCGUAGACCCGAAACCGGGUGACCUACCCAUGGGCAGGUUGAAGUUGAGGUAAAACUCAAUGGAGGACCGAACCGCUUAGCGUUUAAAAGCUAUCGGAUGACCUGUGGGUAGCGGUGAAAUUCCAAUCGAACCCGGAUAUAGCUGGUUCUCCUCGAAAUAGCUUUAGGGCUAGCCUCAAGGAAAGUGACGUGGAGGUAGAGCACUGACUGGUCUAGGGGCGCGCAUGCGUUACCAAAACCUAUCAAACUCCGAAUGCCACAGUCAUAUACUUGGGAGUCAGACUAUGUGAGAUAAGUUUCAUAGUCAAAAGGGAAACAGCCCAGACCACCAUCUAAGGUCCCAAAGUACAAGUUAAGUGGGAAAGGAUGUAAGACUACACAGACAACCAGGAUGUUGGCUUAGAAGCAGCCACACAUUCAAAGAGUGCGUAAUAGCUCACUGGUCGAGUGGUCUUGCGCCGAAGAUUACCGGGGCUCAAACUAGUCACCGAAGAUGUGGAUUGUCGUAGAUUCAAUAUUACUCUUAAAGUAAAGGGCAAAGAAAGCUUUGCCGAAGGCCACAAAAGGCUACAAUAAAAGCCUUCGGCCAGAUUCUAGUUAAGUGAAAACUUAAGGGUAGCAUUGAAUCUACGACAGUGGUAGAGGAGCAUUGUAUACAGGUAGAAGCUAUACCGAAAGGAGUAGUGGACAGUAUACAAGAGAGAAUGUUGGCAUGAGUAGCGAGAGGUGAGUGAGAAUCUCACCCAUCGAAAGCCUAAGGUUUCCUGAGGAAGGCUCGUCCACUCAGGGUUAGUCGGGACCUAAGCCCAGGCCAAAAGGCGUAGGCGAUGGACAACAGGUUGAAAUUCCUGUACUACCAGAAGGCGCUAAAAGAGAAGGAGUGACGCAGGAGGAUAGGUUAAGCACACCGUUGGUUGAGUGUGCCUAAGCAAGUAGGGAGUAUCUAAAGGCAAAUCCGUAGGUACAAUAUCCUGAGAAGUGAUGGGGAGCGAAAUACAAGUAGCGAACUAACUGAAUCCACACUGCCAAGAAAAGCUUCUAUCAAGCCUAAAGGUACCCGUACCGCAAACCGACACAGGUAGGCGAGGAGAGAAUCCUAAGAUGAGCGGAAGAACUCUUGUUAAGGAACUCGGCAAAUUAACCCCGUAACUUCGGGAGAAGGGGUGCCGAGGGAGGUGAAGUGCAAGCCACAUAAGCCUCCUUCGGCCGCAGUGAAUAGGCCCAGGCGACUGUUUACCAAAAACACAGGUCUCUGCUAAAUCGAAAGAUGAAGUAUAGGGGCUGACACCUGCCCGGUGCUGGAAGGUUAAGGGGAAUGCUUAGCGCAAGCGAAGGUAAGAACUUAAGCCCCAGUAAACGGCGGCCGUAACUAUAACGGUCCUAAGGUAGCGAAAUUCCUUGUCGGGUAAGUUCCGACCCGCACGAAAGGUGUAACGAUCUGGGCACUGUCUCAACAAGAGAUCCGGUGAAAUUGUAGUACUCGUGAAGAUGCGAGUUACCCGCGACUAGACGGAAAGACCCCGUGGAGCUUUACUGCAAGCUGACAUUGGAUUUUGGUAUCCUAUGUACAGAAUAGGUGGGAGACAGAGAAAUCAGUGCGCCAGCAUUGGUGGAGUCGUCGUUGGGAUACCACCCUUAUGAUACUGAAGUUCUAACCAUAGGCCAUGAAACUGGUCUUGGGACACUGUCAGUUGGGCAGUUUGACUGGGGCGGUCGCCUCCUAAAAAGUAACGGAGGCGCUCAAAGGUUCCCUCAGCACGGUCGGAAAUCGUGCGAAGAGUGUAAAGGCAGAAGGGAGCUUGACUGCGAGACCCACAAGUCGAGCAGGAACGAAAGUUGGACUUAGUGAUCCGGUGGCGCCGAGUGGAAGGGCCAUCGCUCAACGGAUAAAAGCUACCCCGGGGAUAACAGGCUUAUCUCCCCCAAGAGUCCACAUCGACGGGGAGGUUUGGCACCUCGAUGUCGGCUCGUCUCAUCCUGGAGCUGUAGCAGGUUCCAAGGGUUGGGCUGUUCGCCCAUUAAAGAGGCACGCGAGCUGGGUUCAGAACGUCGUGAGACAGUUCGGUCCCUAUCUGUCGUGGGCGUAGGAAAUUUGAAAGGAGCUGUUCCUAGUACGAGAGGACCGGAAUGGACAGACCACUAGUGUAUCAGUUGUCCUGCCAAGGGCAUGGCUGAGUAGCCAAGUCUGGUAGGGAUAAGCGCUGAAGGCAUCUAAGCGCGAAGCCCCCCUUAAGAAAAGAUUUCCCAUCUGGUAAACAGAGUAAGACCCCAGAAAGACUAACUGGUUGAUAGGUCGUAGGUGUAAGAGCAGCAAUGCUUUAAGCUAAACGAUACUAAUAGGUCGAGGGCUUGACCAG
rnacentral:rRNA from 1 species